AUGUGUGUUUGGACCUGCGACCUGUGUUCAGUGUUUGCAAAAGGAAGCUCACACUUCUCCUUUGGCUCAGGUACCCGCUCCUGCGCUUCCUCCAUUCUCACCUGGGCUCCGGUUAGAACGCGGGACUCGUCAACGGAGACCAUGCUGCUCACCUUCAGCCUCUUGCUCUUUAUGUGGAGCGACACAGGUAAGAGCACGACACCAACGACAACCCAGCCUUCGAGAGCGGCUAUUGCCUUCACCGAACCAGUAAGCCCGUCCUGCGUACUGGUGGCCACACCAGACUACCCAGUGGCGGCCGGGCAGACGGUCCACCUGCGGUGCAGCUCGGAGCCGCCCUCCUCCUCCUCCUCCUCCUUCAUCUGGCAGCGCCUGCAGAACCAGACCUGGGCCUCCGUGGGCUACGGCGCCGCGCUGACCCUGACGGCGGCGGAGCAGAGCGGGCUGUACCGCUGCUGCGCUGGGAACCGGACCCAGAGUCAGAACCACACGGUCUUCAUCGUGGCCGCCCCGCCCGCAGGUUGGUGGUCUGUUCUGUUAGCUCCACGGGUAGCGGUUAGCCUUCACCUAAACGCGGCCUGUUCACCCGACAGCAGCGGACGGAUACGUGGGAGUGGCCGCCCUCGUCCUCUCCCUCAUCGCCCUCGGCGUCAGCGGAGCCGCCGUCUUCUGGAUGGGGACGCAAAAAUGUGACGUUGCUCUGCCCAAAGCCGACGCAACUAAAGGUAACAACCACUUUAGACCAAGAAAAGAUCCUGGGGCCCAUUUUAACCGCUGUGAUUUUUUUUUUCAGAUUUCCCUUUGCCUAAAACUGCACCCAAGUAAGUUUCACCUGCACGUUCACGCGCCUUGUUUUACCGCUGACUCCACCUCCCCCUCCCCCUCCCCCCACCACAGGGUGACGGUGACGGAGCCCGGCGACGACGGGGACGUGUACAUGAACUACUCCAACAGCAGCCACGCCUACACCGACCUGGACCCCGCCAAGAUGGCGGUUUCUAGCGUUUACUCAACGCUGUCCUGAAGCCCUGAGGCAACGCAGAGAAAAAGAGGAAGCGCCGCGGAGGCAGAAGAGAGUUAGCUCACGCCGCCCCGUCCGGGGCUUUUUCUGUGUGUGUGUGUGUGUGUGUGUGACAUGCAGAUGUUACAGUUCACACUUCUAAGUUUGAUGAGACCAUUAUUAAACAAGUCAAAUGUUCAGAAACACACUUUAAUUACAAAUUACAGCUUUACUUGAACAAGCAUAAAAAAAUACAUGAAAAAUAGAUGUAUUAAAAUGUUGUAUGUAGCAAAUAUUCACAGCUUUCUUGGUCACAGACAAAGUUGUGCAACGCGACCUUGGGAGGUUGCUUCUUUGCGGUUUCACCCAAGCACUGAAGCCGCAGUCCCUGCUUCGAUCUGAGACAAUAUUCUCACACUCUCUUUUACUGACACUGCCGCGCGUUUGAUGCGUUUUGAUGCCGCCUCCCGCGCUCCCGCUCGC
rnacentral:lncRNA from 1 species